UACGAAGGGGGCUAGCGUUGUUCGGAAUUACUGGGCGUAAAGGGCUCGUAGGUGGCCAACUAAGUCAGACGUGAAAUCCCUCGGCUUAACCGGGGAACUGCGUCUGAUACUGGAUGGCUUGAGUUCGGGAGAGGGAUGCGGAAUUCCAGGUGUAGCGGUGAAAUGCGUAGAUAUCUGGAGGAACACCGGUGGCGAAGGCGGCAUCCUGGACCGACACUGACGCUGAGGAGCGAAAGCCAGGGGAGCAAACGGG
rnacentral:rRNA from 1 species